AAAGCAAACUCAAUUGGUCAUUCAAUCAAGAAGGUUCAGAAGUUACAUUCGAAAUCGUCAAGAUGAAAUUCACCAUCUUCUUUGCACUUGUCGCUGUUGUCAUUGCUUCUCUUUUGGGAACAGUUGCAGCGAAUGAUGAAAAAGUAAAGUUGAAUAUGGAAGGAAGACGUAUUAUCAAUGCUCAUUCGAACUGUCCCGAUGGACAAGUCGCUGACAGCAGAGGCAAUUGCAGGGACGUCUACUAACUUUUCUAAAACUCGGUUCAAUAUGUCUAAUCUCCAACCAUGGCAAUACCCAAUUCAUUGAAAUACAUCUAUUGCAUCACA